GCGGAAGUGGCGAAAUUGGUAGACGCACCAGAUUUAGGCUCUGGCGCCGCGAGGCGUAAGAGUUCAAGUCUCUUCUUCCGCACCA
rnacentral:tRNA from 1 species